UCUCACAAGAUUCAUAACAAGUGGAUCCACAUACACGUACACAAAUCCUACAUGCAAAUUCAGACGUACAUAAUCAAACGACGACAUUCAGGCUGACAAAGAUAUUUAAAAGUGACCACUCAAAUACACAUCAUAUACAUAUGUACAAACACACAACACACUCACAUAUAUGUAUAUAUAUAUAUAUUCGCUAAGACAUCCGCUUUCAGGGAAAAACUGCUUCUAAUAGAUGUAAACUCGUAAGUGACCAUUACAUACAUACAACGACAUAUACACACAUACACACACACACACACACACACACACAUACACACACACUUACAUACGUACAUACAUACAUAUAUACAUACAUGCCCCUACUUGGAGACAAGUGAUUCCGUUGUAACUGUUUAAUCACUACCACUUGUAGGUUUCUCGUCAAAUUUAAAGAAUUGUUCAGUUCUGUAUGGCCACCAAUGAUUUACCAUUGAAUUUUUGUGAACGCCACAGAUAAUUUUUGCAUUUUUUGCCAUCAAAUCAGGUGUUACAGGAUACCAGAAAGAAACAAGAGAGAAAAAUGAUUACAAAAUAUAUUUUUUUGUUUCCCUUAGCUUUUUUCAUGUCCUGCACUGAAGUUACUUCGCAAGUAGAACCUUGUGACAGUUACACGGAAAUAGACGCUUCAUCAAGACGUAUUACAGAGGAUUAUGAUACUCACUGCGACAAUACGCUAUCAGAAAAAUGGUACCGCUUUAUCAUUGGUAAACAGUCAGCCAUUAUUCCAACUCAGUGC
rnacentral:lncRNA from 1 species